CCACAAUACAAUUACUUCACAAUGCUGGAUACAUCGAACAGACCUGUACACAAUUAAGAGCUUGUUAUUCUUAAAAAAAGUAAAAAAGUAAAAAAAAAGUAGAUUUCGUAGGCUUUCUUCAAGUUUAUUGUGGAAUGGAAGGCGGCUACUAUCUUGGCCAACUCGUGCUCAAAACCCACCUACAUUAACAAACGACGAAAGGAUGCGAUGGGACAAGGAUAUCGAAGCCGUAACGGGUCAUUGCUUUGCUUUAUUUGGGAAUUGUGGUGUGGAAGACCUCUAUUUUUCCGAAAAAUCACCUCUGGAGGGAAUCUUCGAGUCUAUUAGUCGUUCGCGAAGACUGUCGCGGGGAAGAUCGGCGCCAUUGAAUUCUUCGGUUUAGAACGAACGUCUUUCGAUUUCUUCCAAUGGUUCCAGACAAGGUGAUGGCGCCAUAUUUGAGCAGCAAUAAAUCCGGAAUAGCAGUCCAUGAGCUCCUCAACGGAUCCUGGUUGGCCGAUACACAUUAGAUCCUUGUACACAUACACGUAUUGGAUUAUUAUUAUUGAAUUGGAAAUAUUAUUGGAUUUAAAUGGUAAACGUCACAAUUAAAGCAAAUAGAAACA
rnacentral:sRNA from 1 species